rnacentral:rRNA from 1 species
AACGAACGCUGGCGGCAUGCCUAACACAUGCAAGUCGAACGAGACCUUCGGGUCUAGUGGCGCACGGGUGCGUAACGCGUGGGAAUCUGCCCUUGGGUUCGGAAUAACUCAGAGAAAUUUGAGCUAAUACCGGAUGAUGACGUAAGUCCAAAGAUUUAUCGCCCAAGGAUGAGCCCGCGUAAGAUUAGCUUGUUGGUAGGGUAAUGGCCUACCAAGGCGACGAUCUUUAGCUGGUCUGAGAGGAUGAUCAGCCACACUGGGACUGAGACACGGCCCAGACUCCUACGGGAGGCAGCAGUGGGGAAUAUUGGACAAUGGGCGAAAGCCUGAUCCAGCAAUGCCGCGUGAGUGAUGAAGGCCUUAGGGUUGUAAAGCCUUUUACCAGGGAUGAUAAUGACAGUACCUGGAGAAUAAGCUCCGGCUAACUCCGUG